AGUUAUCUGCGUAGGGUACAGAGGUAAGAUGUUCUAUCUUUCAGACCUUUUGUUUCACGUUAUUGGAUUUGGCUGAUUCAGCCGCCCUGACCAUUUGGUCAGGGCGUUUUUUA
rfam:Photobacterium aquae strain CGMCC 1.12159 contig0004, whole genome shotgun sequence.